UGGGGAAGUAUUGCAUCAAUGGGCAGGCAAGCCAUGACUGCAGCCAUGCCGCGCUGUAUGAAGAAGGCCAAUUCGGGGCUUUGGUUAAAGAUACUUUUCAGCGAGGAGGAAGGCAUUAAGGUUAAUAACCUUAGUGAUUGACGUUACUCGCAGAAGAAGCACCGGCUAACUCCGUGCCAGCAGCCGCGGUAAUACGGAGGGUGCAAGCGUUAAUCGGAAUUACUGGGCGUAAAGCGCACGCAGGCGGUCUGUCAAGUCGGAUGUGAAAUCCCCGGGCUCAACCUGGGAACUGCAUUCGAAACUGGCAGGCUAGAGUCUUGUAGAGGG
rnacentral:rRNA from 1 species